CAUUCCCGCAAUGCCUCCACAGACAGUCCACGCGCUAUAAUAUACAUACUGGUUAGUGUCUGUCAGUGUGACACAAACUGCGAUCGCCUUGGAAGAGGAAGUCUCAGCUGAAGAACUGCCUCCAUCAGCUUGACUCAUAGACAAGUCUGUGGGUGUUUUCUAGGUUGAUAAUCGAUAUGGGAGGGCUCAGCCGACUCUGGGCAGUGCCCUCACCGGGAAGGUGAGCCUGGAGUGUCAAAGAAAGCAGGCUGAGCUUGCUGUAGAGAGGAAGCCGCUGAGCAACGGCCCUCUGUAAUCUCCAGUGGAGUCCCUGUUUCCAGGUUCCUACCCGGCUCGAUCCCUACUUUGUCUUCCUUCCAUGAUGCACGGUUCUGCACCAUUCAGACUGCUAAGAGUCAGAAACCAACAAACUGGAGCAAACUUGUGGAACACUGAGGAUGAGCUGCCGGAAGGGACUCGGUCAUACUUACGACAAGUACACCUAUCCUAAAUGCCAGCUGUCUCACUGCUGAGCGUGGACAAACCCAAAAGAGAAGCAGGCGUGAUUUCAUAAAGGUACGCGUAACAAGACUCCUCCUGGCAGGUCCACUUCUGCACUGUGAAUCCAACGAAUGAACACAUCGCGGAUAGCCUGCAGCAAUGCAUCAUGGGUACUCUUCAGCUGGUAUCUCCGGAGCAGGUGGCUGGGUAGGACUGACCCGGGUAGAAAGUCCAGAACAGAACUGAAUUUUGGAGCCUCUAGUAAGAGAAGAAAAUGAAAUAAACAUCAGAAUCACAGGACUGGUCACCUCGGUAAAUCCUUGGAUUCGGAUGAAGGCCUCUACCAACUUUCCCAUAACGCUCACACACAAAAUCAAUACUGUAUUAUCUUAAUUAAAUGUACUAGUGAGAGACUGGGCUUUCAAGAGAUGUAUGUGCCAACGAGAGUGCCACGUCCCCACAGGGGAUAAUCAUAGCAUUCUAACUCCCCUCCAGCACAAUAGGCUUUAUUAUUAAGGAAAAUGUGGCCUCGUGGUCAGUUUGGAUUGGGUUGGACAGGAUAUCAUUUUGACUAGAAAGCUACACAGUAUUCUCUCUGUGUACUUUUCCAUUGGACUUAAGAACAGCAAAUAUUAGUGAGCCUAAUGUCGAUAGACGGUUUGUUUUCUCGGCCAAGCUGUUUUCCUAGGAGAACAUAUCCCCGCCACCCCUCUCUGUGGAAACCUGGAUUUGGCCAAGAUUUGUAGCAGUUACUUCAUGGCCAGGUGGGCUGGAGUCUGCUUCUCCAACAAUAAACAUUUUGUGAGCA